CGCGCAUGAAAGUCUUCUCUUUUCUUAUUUUGCCCUUGUAACUUGUGCUCUCUUCCUCAAAGUCUAUUGCCGCCUCUCAUUCUAGACCGCCAUAUUUUCCGAUUCUUAUAUUUUCUUCUUUUAUCUGUUUUGAUUGUGCCGCCCUUCUCCUCCAAUAAGAAUCUCCACCGCCAUUGACUGCGUCUCUGAAUAUGUUCCUCAUGCUUAUCGAAUUUCUUCACUUGAUAACUCCUCCGCUCUAUUCCCAUUGUUGCAUUCCAAUCGAACGAUGAGGUAGCAGUCGAUCUGAACCCUAGAAAUCGGUUUGUUCACCAUAUGGUUGACUAUGGUUUAAUCAGCCAGUGUACAAACGUUUAAUCAGCCAGGUACCAUUGCCCCUUACUAUUUGGGGUUGCUUUCUUAUUUCUCGUCUUCGUAGCAGGGCUAAAUUGAGAAUGGAAAGAAAACAAAUAUUGCCCAGGAAGAGAGAGAAGGGAGAUGGAGGUUGUCUUCAUCUCGCUCUCAAUAAAUCAAAAAAUAAAGAAAACAAAUACCUCUUGCAACGAGUUUGGCCAAAUCAAGCAGCUGUUCCAGCCUCCAGGGUAUUGGAAAGCUACAGGGGACAAAUAAAGUGCAUUUGUUGAAAAUUUGAUCUGAAAACAUUGAUCCUGCUAUUUGUGAGACAAGACGAAGAAAAGGAUGGGACAAUUACAUAGGAAGCUAUCAACGCUGGUUAUGCUAUAUUUGAGACACAAGUAUUAUUGAGGUUAAUUUUAGUUUGGAUUCUAUGUAUACAAGUAGUAUUGGUAUUGAUCAUAUAUGUUAAAGUUAGAUCUUUUUUUUUUAUUUUGAUUUGUUUUUAAUUUUUAUUUAUGUUUAAUUCAAUCUAUGUUCAUCUGUCACCACCAUUGUCGCCUGCUCUCUCCUUCGACGACACUUCCCAGUCUACAUCAGUUAAGUCAUCUUCUAAUUCUAACCCAACUCCUGAGAAGUUGAAAGAUUCAAGUUUUCUUUGGACAUCUGGAUGAUGUUCUUGAUUUGUCUUGGUCCAAACCACACCAUUUAUUGUCAUCUUCAAUGGACAAAAUUGUGUGGUUGUGACAGUUGACUAGCAAUUCAUGUUUGAAGAUCUUUUCACACAAUGACUAUGUAACUUGCAUCCAAUUCAAUCCUGUUGAUGAGAGAUGCUUCAUUAGUGGAUCACUUGAUUCCAAAGUCCGGAUUUGGAGUAUUCCUGAUCAUCAGGUCGUUUAUUGGAAUGAUAUGCAAUUAUGCAUGAAAUGGUCACUGUUGCUUGCUAUACACUAGGCAGUCAGGUUGCAUUAGUUGGGUCCUACAAAGGGAGUUGCUGUUUAUAUGACACAACUGAAAAUAAAUUACAACAGAAAGUGAGGUUAACAUGCAGAACAGAAAAAAGUCACGCCACAAAAAGAUCACCGGUUUUCAGGUGAAAAUUAAGAGUUAUUAUAACGGCUUUUGGUUGUAUCAUGUUGAAAUGACCAAAAUACCCUUUACAGUUUGCUCAAGGAAGGAAACUACAUUGUUGAAGUCCGGUGCAUGGAGGUUGAUUGCAGACAUUAUUCUAAUCAAAGGAUCUUAUGCAUGUAGACCCUCUCUUCUUUUCACUAUCUUUCGGUUCCAGAAGUGAACGUAUGUUGUUUCAUCAAUGCAGUUGUAAUGAAUGUGAAUAUAAAUUAAGUUCAUAGUGUUUACUAUCAAAAUAAACGACUUUUGUACACAAAAGAAAA